AUUGAACGCUGGCGGCAGGCCUAACACAUGCAAGUCGAACGGUAACAGGAAGCAGCUUGCUGCUUCGCUGACGAGUGGCGGACGGGUGAGUAAUGUCUGGGAAACUGCCUGAUGGAGGGGGAUAACUACUGGAAACGGUAGCUAAUACCGCAUAACGUCGCAAGACCAAAGAGGGGGACCUUCGGGCCUCUUGCCAUCGGAUGUGCCCAGAUGGGAUUAGCUAGUAGGUGGGGUAACGGCUCACCUAGGCGACGAUCCCUAGCUGGUCUGAGAGGAUGACCAGCCACACUGGAACGGAGAAACGGUCCAGACUCCUACGGGAGGCAGCAGUGGGGAAUAUUGCACAAUGGGCGCAAGCCUGAUGCAGCCAUGCCGCGUGUAUGAAGAAGGCCUUCGGGUUGUAAAGUACUUUCAGCGGGGAGGAAGGCGAUAAGGUUAAUAACCUUGCCGAUUGACGUUACCCGCAGAAGAAGCACCGGCUAACUCCGUGCCAGCCGCCGCGGUAA
rnacentral:rRNA from 1 species